GAGGGGAUGGCCAACCAACAAGAACUGCUAACUCUUGCACCUGAGUCUAAACCCUCAGUCCCCUUA
rnacentral:tRNA from 1 species